GACGAACGCUGGCGGCGUGCUUAACACAUGCAAGUCGAACGGAAAGGCCUGCUUUCCCUUGUGGAUUGCGGGUACUCGAGUGGCGAACGGGUGAGUAACACGUGAGUGAUCUGCCCCCAACUUGGGUAUAAGCCUGGGAAACUGGGUCUAAUUCCCGAUAGGACUGCAGGGUGGUGCCUGUGGUGGAAAACGAUUUUCUAGUGGUUGGGGAUGAGCUCGUGGCUUAUCAGCUUGUUGGUGGGGUAAUGGCCUACCAAGGCGGCGACGGGUAGCCGGCCUGGGAGGGUGGACGGCCACAUUGGGACUGAGAUACGGCCCAGACUCCUACGGGAGGCAGCAGUGGGGGAUAUUGCACAAUGGGCGGAAGCCUGAUGCAGCGACGCCGCGUGGGGGAUGACGGCCUUCGGGUUGUAAACUCCUUUCGACCGCGAGGAAGCCACCUGGUUGGAAGGGUGGUGACGGUAGUGGUAGAAGAAGCACCGGCUAACUACGUG
rnacentral:rRNA from 1 species